GAUGAACGCUGGCGGCGUGCCUAACACAUGCAAGUCGAGCGGACAGACGCUGCUCUUGCUGGGCUGACGUGAGGGGCGGGCGGGUGAAUCACACGUGUAUCCCCUACCUGUCUGUGUGGGAUCUCUACGGGACAGCGGAUCUAACACCGGAUGAGCUCUUGAACCUCGUGGUUCAAUGGUGAGAUUCGGUUUUGCUGUCACUUAUCGAGGGAUCCGCGCUGGUUUGGGGAGUUGGUGCUGUAACGGCCUACCAAGGCUACGAUGCGUGGGCGAGCUGAGAGGGUGGUCGGCGACACUGGAACGGAGACACGGUCCAGACUCCUACGGGAGGCACCAGUCGGGAAUGUUGGGCAAUGGGCGAAAGCCUGGCGCAGCGACGCCGCGCGUGUGACGAAGGUCCUCGGAUCGUAAAGCUCUCUUACUAGGGAAGAACAGAUGUGUACUUAUACGUGGCCGUAUUGACGGUACCGAAUAAAGAAGCACCGGCUAACUACGUG
rnacentral:rRNA from 1 species